AUUGAACGCUAGCGGGAUGCCUUACACAUGCAAGUCGAACGGAGUGGCGAACGGGUGAGUAAUGUAUCGGAAUGUGCCCAGUAGCGGGGGAUAACUAAGGGAAAGGGUAGCUAAUACCGCAUACUAUCGGAUAGGCCGAUAUCGGAUUAGCUAGUUGGUGGGGUAACGGCUCACCAAGGCGACGACCCGUAGCUGGUUUGAGAGGACGAACAGCCACACUGGGACUGAGACACGGCCCAGACUCCUACGGGCGGCAGCAGUGGGGAAUUUUGGACAAUGGGCGAAACCCUGAUCCAGCCAUCCCGCGUGUGCGAUGAAGGCCUUCGGGUUGUAAAGCACUUUUGGCAGGAAAGCGGUACCUGCAGAAUAAGCACCGGCUAACUACGUGCCAGCCGCCGCGGUAAUUC
rnacentral:rRNA from 1 species